rnacentral:rRNA from 1 species
UAAGGUCACGGCAAGACGAGCCGUUUAUGAUCACGAUAGGUGCCAAGUGGAAGUGCAGUAAUGUAUGUAGCUGAGGCAUCCUAACAGACCGAGAGAUUUGAAC